rnacentral:rRNA from 1 species
AUACAACUUUCAACAACGGAUCUCUUGGCUCUCGCAUCGAUGAAGAACGCAGCGAAAUGCGAUAAGUAAUGUGAAUUGCAGAAUUCAGUGAAUCAUCGAAUCUUUGAACGCACCUUGCGCUCCUUGGUAUUCCGAGGAGCAUGCCUGUGUGAGUGUCAUG